rnacentral:lncRNA from 12 species
UAGUUCAGAAAUCUUUGCAAUAGAUAGCAUCAGGAAUGAAAGCCAUGAGCAAUUGAGAAAUUGAAAGAAGCUUCUCUUGGAUGUUAAUGCUUUGCUGGAAUUGACAUUUUGGAGCUACAAAAAGUCAUUUAAUAGUUGCGGAAGAAGAAAGGGAUUUUCCUGUCAAAGGGAUCAUGGAAACAUGCAAUAUCUGAAGGUACUUACUCUUGGAAGCUGAUAGACUCUUCUAUAUAUCUAAGUCAUAAUUUGGUUUUG